rnacentral:rRNA from 1 species
AACGAACGCUGGCGGCGUGGUUUAGGCAUGCAAGUCGGACGAUCUUAGGAUAGUGGCAAAAGGGUGAGUAACACGUGGGUAAUCUAUCCUUAAGUUGGGAACAACACUUCGAAAGAGGUGCUAAUACCGAAUAAGACCCCAGAGAUGUAUAUCUCAGAGGUUAAAGCUGAGGACCCAGCACUAAUUUUCGCAAGAAAAUUAGUGCUGGGCUUGGCGCUAGAGGAUGAGCCCGCGUCCUAUCAGCUUGUUGGUGAGGUAAUGGCUCACCAAGGCGACGAUCCGUAGCUGGUCUGAGAGGACGAUCAGCCACACUGGGACUGAGACACGGCCCAGACUCCUACGGGAGGCAGCAGUGGGGAAUAUUGGACAAUGGGGGCAACCCUGAUCCAGCAAUGCCGCGUGUGUGAAGAAGGCCUGCGGGUUGUAAAGCACUUUCAGUAGAGAAGAAAUGCCCGGGCUUAAUACCCCCGGUCUUGACGUAACCUACAGAAGAAGCACCGCUAACU